rnacentral:rRNA from 1 species
AAAGCCUGACACAGCAACGCCGCGUGAGGGAUGAAGUAUUUCGGUAUGUAAACCUCGAAAGAAUGGGUAGAAUAAAUGACGGUAACAUUUAUAAGCUCCGGCUAACUACGUGCCAGCAGCCGCGGUAAUACGUAGGGAGCAAGCGUUGUUAGGAUUUACUGGGCGGAAAGGGCGCGUAGGCGGCGCGGUAAGUGACUUGUGUAAUCUCUGAGCUUAAACCAGAACGGCCAAGUGAUACUGCUGUGCUAGAGUGAGCAAGAGGCAACCGGAAUUCUUGGUGUAGCGGUGAAAUGCGUAGAUAUCAAGAGGAACACCUGAGGCGAAGGCGGGUUGCUGGGCCGAC